rnacentral:rRNA from 1 species
UACGAAGGGGGCUAGCGUUGCUCGGAAUCACUGGGCGUAAAGAGCGUGUAGGCGGCCAGGUAGGUCUGGUGUGAAAACUCGAGGCUUAACCUCGAGAUGUCAUCGGAAACCAUUUGGCUAGAGUCCGGAAGAGGAGAGUGGAAUUCCUGGUGUAGCGGUGAAAUGCGCAGAUAUCAGGAAGAACACCAAUGGCGAAAGCAGCUCUCUGGGACGGUACUGACGCUGAGACGCGAAAGCGUGGGGAGCGAACAGG